CCUACGGGUGGCAGCAGUGAGGAAUAUUGGUCAAUGGACGCAAGUCUGAACCAGCAAUGCCGCGUGCAGGAUGACGGCUCUAUGAGUUGUAAACUGCUUUUGUACGAGGGUAAACCCCGAUACGUGUAUCGGGUUGACAGUAUCGUACGACUAAGGAUCGGCUAACUCCGUGCCAGCGGCCGCGGUAAUACGGAGGAUCCGAGCGUUCACCGGAUUUGUUGGGUUUAAAGGGUGCGUCGGCGGUUUGAUAAGUCAGAGGUGAAAUGCCGGGGCUCAACCCCGGAACUGACUCUAAAACUGUUUGACUAGAGUAUAGGUGCGGUAGGCGGAAUGUAUGGUGUAGCGGUGAAAUGCGUAGAGAUCAGACAGAACACCGAUUGCGAAGGCAGCUUACCAAACUAUAUCUGACGGUGAGGCACGAAAGCGUGGGUAGCAAACAGGAUUAGAUACCCGGGUAGUC
rnacentral:rRNA from 1 species